AGUAGGGCAGUGAUGUCACUUGUCCUGGCUCCCUGCCUCAUGGAGGUCGAGUGGCAGAGCUGGGAUUCAGUCUCUGACCACCUGGAGUUCUCAAAUGGGCACCACUCUCCCGUGGUUUGUAAACGUGGGCCAGUGGUUUCCUGCCCUCGCCCCUCAGCCAACCCCAGGAACACAGCCCAUGCUGGUCUGGAACUCAGAGCAAUCCUCCUGCUUUGGCCUCUGGAGUGCUGAGAUUACCCUACACACCUCUGAAUGUCUUAACAACUUAUCAUAUCCAACAAGCUAACUUCUCUAAGCAUCCUGAAGUGAAUUCACCUGCGCCCUGCUGCUCAUCAUGAACCGAGAAGAUGGGGUCUUCUGCCAGGUCGUCUCCAAACCUCGCUACUCUCCCAUCUCUCCCCUGCUCUCCCUUGUCUGGUGAGAUGUCCCACCCCUAGCCCCAGGGUGGGUCUCAGACAACAGAAGCCUGGGGAAAGGCAGA